AGCGAACGCUGGUGGCAGGCCUAACACAUGCAAGUCGAACGAACCCUUCGGGGUUAGUGGCGGACGAGUGAGUAACACGUGGGAACGUGCCUUUAGGUUCGGAAUAACUCAGGGAAACUUGUGCUAAUACCGAAUGUGCCCUUCGGGGGAAAGAUUUAUCGCCUUUAGAGCGGCCCGCGUCUGAUUAGCUAGUUGGUGAGGUAAUGGCUCACCAAGGCUACGAUCAGUAGCUGGUCUGAGAGGAUGGCCAGCCACAUUGGGACUGAGACACGGCCCAAACUCCUACGGGAGGCAGCAGUGGGGAAUCUUGCGCAAUGGGCGAAAGCCUGACGCAGCCAUGCCGCGUGGAUGAUGAAGGUCUUAGGAUUGUAAAAUCCUUUCACCGGUGAAGAUAAUGACUGUAGCCGGAGAAGAAGCCCCGGCUAACUUCGUGCCAGCCGCCGCCGUAAUAC
rnacentral:rRNA from 1 species